AGUGAACGCUGGCGGCAGGCCUAACACAUGCAAGUCGAACGGCAGCACAAGAGAGCUUGCUCUCUGGGUGGCGAGUGGCGGACGGGUGAGGAAUGCAUCGGAAUCUGCCCAUUUGUGGGGGAUAACCUCGGGAAACCGGGACUAAUACCGCAUACGACCUACGGGUGAAAGCAGGGGAUCUUCGGACCUUGCGCAGAUGGAUGAGCCGAUGCCGGAUUAGCUAGUUGGCGGGGUAAAGGCCCACUAAGGCGACGAUCCGUAGCUGGUCUGAGAGGAUGAUCAGCGCCAGUGGGACUGGGACACGGCCCAGACUCCUACGGGAGGAAGCAGUGGGGAAUAUUGGGCAAUGGGCGCAAGCCUGAUCCAGCCAUGCGGCGUGUGUGAAGAAGGCCUUCGGGUGGUAAAGCAGAUGUGUUGGGAAAGAAAAGCAGCCGGUUAAUACCCGGUUGUCAUGACGGUACCCAAAGAAUAAGCACCGGCUAACUUCGUG
rnacentral:rRNA from 1 species